rnacentral:misc_RNA from 1 species
GUAGGUGAACCUGCGGAAGGAUCAUUAACACGUAUCCAACGUUAUCAACAAACGCGUGACUUUAUGUUUUCACAUCCUCGCCCAUCGAUGAGCGCCGGUGCUUGCACUGCUCAUUCUUGGCUCCAUUCGCUCUCCUGGUCAACGCCUAGGCCUGACUGUUGAGUUCAGAAUGCCAACCUACACUACCACAAUAACCCUCCUUACACUAGUUGUCUAUUUCUAUGUUGCGCACUGGUGCGAUCUAAUCGUCGCAGCUAUGCACACACGUUUAUUCACUUGAACGUUAAAAUACAACUCUUAGCAAUGGAUAUCUUGGUUCUC